rnacentral:misc_RNA from 1 species
GAAAUGCGAUAAGUAAUGUGAAUUGCAGAAUUCAGAGAAUCAUCGAAUCUUUGAACGCACAUUGCGCCCGCCAGUAUUCUGGCGGGCAUGCCUGUUCGAGCGUCAUUACAACCCUCAGGCCCCCGGGCCUGGCGUUGGGGAUCGGCGGAAGCCCCCUGCGGGCACAACGCCGUCCCCCAAAUACAGUGGCGGUCCCGCCGCAGCUUCCAUUGCGUAGUAGCUAACACCUCGCAACUGGAGAGCGGCGCGGCCACGCCGUAAAACACCCAACUUCUGAAUGUUGACCUCGAAUCAGGUAGGAAUACCCGCUGAACUUAAGC